GAUGAACGCUGACAGAAUGCUUAACACAUGCAAGUCUACUUGAACUUCGGUUUGGGUGGCGGCCGGGUGAGUAACGCGUAAAGAACUUGCCUCACAGUUAGGGACAAUAUUUGGAAACGAAUGCUAAUACCUGAUAUUAUGAUCUUAGGGCAUCCUAGGAUUAUGAAAGCUAUAUGUGCUGUGAGAGAGCUUUGCGUCCCAUUAGCUAGUUGGAGAGGUAACGGCUCACGCAGGCGAGGAUGGGUAGCCGGCCUGAGAGGGUGAACGGCCACAAGGGGACUCAGGCACGGCCCUUACUCCAACGUGGGGAAGCGGUGGGAAAUUUUUGACAAUGGACCAAGAGCCUGAACCAGCAAUUCUGUGUGCAAGAUGACGUUUUUCGGAAUGUAAAGUGCUUUCAGUUGAGAAGGAAAUAAUGACGGUACCAACAGAAGAAGCAACGGCUAACUACGUG
rnacentral:rRNA from 1 species